rnacentral:rRNA from 1 species
UACGUAGGGUGCGAGCGUUGUCCGGAAUUAUUGGGCGUAAAGGGCUCGUAGGCGGUCUGUUGCGUCGGGAGUGAAAACUCAGGGCUUAACCCUGAGCCUGCUUCCGAUACGGGCAGACUAGAGGUAUGCAGGGGAGAACGGAAUUCCUGGUGUAGCGGUGAAAUGCGCAGAUAUCAGGAGGAACACCGGUGGCGAAGGCGGUUCUCUGG